GACGAACGCUGGCGGCGUGCUUAACACAUGCAAGUGGGGGCGACGAACCAGGCUUCGGCCUGGGGGCAAAGCCGCGAACGGGUGAGUAACACGUGGGUAACCUGCCCCGAAGACCGGGACAACCCGGGAAACCCGGGCUAAUACCGGAUGUGGUCAUCGUUCAUAAGGACGAUGAGCAAAGGAAAGCUUCGGCCGUCCGCUUCGGGAUGGGCCCGGCCGGCCCAUUAGCUUGUUGGUGAGGUAACGGCUCACCAAGGCUUCAUGGGUAGCUGGUCUGAGAGGACGGAUCCGCCACACU
rnacentral:rRNA from 1 species